rnacentral:rRNA from 1 species
UGGUCUUAGCUUGCUAAGGCUGAUGGCGACCGGCGCACGGGUGAGUAACACGUAUCCAACCUGCCGAUGACUCGGGGAUAGCCUUUCGAAAGAAAGAUUAAUACCGGAUAGCAUACGAAUAUCGCAUGAUAUUUUUAUUAAAGAAUUUCGGUUAUCGAUGGGGAUGCGUUCCAUUAGAUAGUUGGCGGGGUAACGGCCCACCAAGUCGACGAUCGGUAGCCGGACUGAGAGGUUGAACGGCCACAUUGGGACUGAGACACGGCCCAGACUCCUACGGGAGGCAGCAGUGGGGAAUAUUGCACAAUGGGGGAAACCCUGAUGCAGCGACGCCGCGUGGAGGAAGAAGGUCUUCGGAUUGUAAACUCCUGUUGUUGAGGAAGAUAAUGACGGUACUCAACAAGGAAGUGACGGCUAACUACGUGCCAGCAGCCGCGGUAAAACGUAGGUCACAAGCGUUGUCCGGAAUUACUGGGUGUAAAGGGAGCGCAGGCGGGAGAACAAGUUGGAAGUGAAAUCCAUGGGCUCAACCCAUGAACUGCUUUCAAAACUGUUUUUCUUGAGUAGUGCAGAGGUAGGCGGAAUUCCCGGUGUAGCGGUGGAAUGCGUAGAUAUCGGGAGGAACACCAGUGGCGAAGGCGGCCUACUGGGCACCAACUGACGCUGAGGCUCGAAAGUGUGGGUAGCAAACAGGAUUAGAUACCCUGGUAGUCCAUGCCGUAAACGAUGAUUACUAGGUGUUGGAGGAUUGACCCCUUCCGUGCCGCAGUUAACACAAUA